UUGCAAAAAAGCAUACAUUUGGCGACGCCGUUAGCGUCGGCAAAAUUUUUCCAUUCCCCCCAAUUUAUUUGGUUCCCCGCUCAAAUCCCUAUCUCACAAGACCCCAUCUCUCUCAAAUCCUCAGAUCUCUACGCUUCUCCCUCCGCGACCUCCUAGGCUCCGCCUACUUCUCCUCCUGGGACUUGACCGGCGACCCUUGAUCCUCGUUCUUCGGUACCCUCUGCUCCGACGACCGAGUCGUCUCCCUCUCCCUCGGUUCCUCCGUCGUCGGCGUCCCCGGCCUCCUACCCUAGCUAUUCACAAACCCUAGCGGCGAUGGCGGGAGCCCUAACCGGCCUCCAAGAUCACCUGAAGCUCGCGAGGGAGUACGCGAUGGAGGGGCUCUACGACACCUCCAUCAUCUUCUUCGAUGGCGCCAUUGCUCAGAUCAACAAGCAAUUCCUUUUUUUUCCCUUUGAUUCGGUUCGGGUUGAGCUUUGAUUUUGAUUGCAAUUGGAUCCUUUUUCCAAAUCUUUAAUCUCAUGCCAUGGAAAUAGAAUGAGAGUAAAGAUUUGGAAAUCUCGAGACCCCUUGUGUUAUCUCAGUUAAUAGCUCCAAAAUAUCCAGUUCUCUUAUAUAUAAAUAUAUGCAAGUCUAGGACAGGAAAAGCAGUGGGCACUGGAAGUUAACCCAUUAUAUACCAGCAGUCUGGGCACAUGAGCACUCUAGAUGAUGCCAUAAUUCGUUCAAAAUGGAUGAACUGCAAAAAGGCUGUUUUGGGAUCCUGACUGUAAAAUUAUCCUGUUGCUUACAAAAGUGCAAUUUUGUUGCUGUCAGAAGAAGAUCGAAGCUUGCAAACUAUUGCGGCUGAAGAUAAUGGCACUAAGAAUAUAUGCAUUCACUGAUUGAUACACAGGGGUUGCAUUUUGGAUGCAUACUGGAGAAAGACAAACAUCAUGUUUAAGGGAUAAGUACAUCCAAUCUGUCUUACAGCAAGACAUGACAUUUUUGAUACAGAAGCUAGAGAAGAAAACAUACUAUAUCGCAUUUCAAGUGACGCUAUUCUCGUGCAGGAUGCAAUUGGUGAUAAGAUUGGUCACUGUCAGAGGUACCUUUCUCAAUCUUUUUUUGGAUUGGUCAUGGGAUUUUCCACAGUAUGGCAACUUACCCUCCUUGCACUGGCUGUUUUGCCAUUAAUUGUUGUUGCUGGAGGAACAUAUGUGAUAAUUAUGUCCAGCUUGUCCAAGAAGGGUGAGAAGGCAUAUGCUGAAGCUGGGAAAGUUGCCGAAGAGCUACACAACAGAAGUUGGAGAUGGAUGGUGAAGGUGGGAAGAAGAAGCCAGAGACGUGACGAAGGAAAGGCUUGCAACGUUGAUAAGACAUGGGUUCUCUGUAGUCUUUAUUGUUCAAGUCUACUUAAUCAUGAUUGUUGGAUUUGUUAAUAAAACAUGUGUCAAACACUUGUUAUUUGUUUAAUAGAAUUGCGUUUAAAUUUAUUUACUAA